rnacentral:rRNA from 1 species
GUCCACGCCGUAAACGAUGAAGACUAGCUGUCCGGGCACUUGGUGCUUGGGUGGCGCAGCUAACGCAUUAAGUCUUCCGCCUGGGGAGUACGGCCGCAAGGUUAAAACUCAAAGAAAUUGACGGGGGCCUGCACAAGCGGUGGAGCAUGUGGUUUAAUUCGAAGCAACGCGCAGAACCUUACCAGCGUUUGACAUGUCUAGUAUGGUUACCAGAGAUGGUUUCCUUCAGUUCGGCUGGCUAGAACACAGGUGCUGCAUGGCUGUCGU